rnacentral:tRNA from 1 species
GGGGGCGUAGUUCAGAGGGAGAAUGGCGAACUUCUAAUUCGUGCGUCGCCAGUUCAAAUCUGGUCGCCUCCACCU